rnacentral:hammerhead_ribozyme from 1 species
AUGCGAAACGCCCGCAACUGCGGGCGUCUGCCGGGCGUGGUGGCCUGGCACUGAUGAGCAGCCAAAC